CGCCUGAUGCCACGUCCCCGGUAGCAGAGAAAAUGGAUUGCAUUGAUGGGCGAUGCUACAAUUAGGCGCAGAACAAAUACUAGUAUCGCAUGUUGAUCGGAACCUGUGGGUCUCUAGUUUUAUCCAUGGAGCCGUUUUGCUGCGAUUACACCU